UACAGAGACGGCAAGCGUUGUUCGGAUUCAUUGGGCGUAAAGGGUGCGCAGGCGGUCGGCAAAGUCCGGUGUGAAAUCUCACAGCCUAACUGUGAGCGGUCAUUGGAAACUAGUCGGCUCGAGGACUGGAGAGGAGACUGGAAUGGUCGGUGUAGCGGUGAGAUGCGUAGAGAUCGACCAGAACACCGGUGGCGAAGGCGGGUCUCUGGACAGUUCCUGACGCUGAGGCACGAAAGCCAGGGGAGCAAACGGG
rnacentral:rRNA from 1 species